rnacentral:rRNA from 1 species
GAUGAACGCUGGCGGCGUGCCUAAUACAUGCAAGUCGAGCGAACAGACGAGGAGCUUGCUCCUCUGACGUUAGCGGCGGACGGGUGAGUAACACGUGGAUAACCUACCUAUAAGACUGGGAUAACUUCGGAAAACCGGAGCUAAUACCGGAUAAUAUAUUGAACGGCAGGGUUCAAUAGUGAAAGACGGUUUUGCUGUCACUUAUAGAUGGAUCCGCGCCGCAUUAGCUAGUUGGUAAGGUAACGGCUUACCAAGGCGACGAUGCGUAGCCGACCUGAGAGGGUGAUCGGCCACACUGGAACUGAGACACGGUCCAGACUCCUACGGGAGGCAGCAGUAGGGAAUCUUCCGCAAUGGGCGAAAGCCUGACGGAGCAACGCCGCGUGAGUGAUGAAGGUCUUCGGAUCGUAAAACUCUGUUAUUAGGGAAGAACAAAUGUGUAAGUAACUAUGCACGUCUUGACGGUACCUAAUCAGAAAGCCACGGCUAACUACGUG